CCUGAGACAGCUGGAUACUACUCUGAGGCUGCUCGGCUAUCCUGACUGCUGGUGGAGGAGACUUCAUGCUGGCUGGCCUCCGUUCCUGCUGUGGCAGGAAAGGAGGAAGUAAUAACCACAGAGGAGCCUGGAAUAAGAAGAUUACUGUACAUUGCAGGAACACUCAGCGAAUACCACAGAAAUGUUUGAACAUAAGUGGUAACAGAGAUACUUCAGAUUUCUUACAGGCCCUUGUCAUGGACAACUAUUCAACUUUUACUGUGUACCAGCUUUAAGAAAUCUCCCCCAUGAGUCCUUCUGGAGGGUUCAUUUGAACAUCCAUGGGAAUUUAAAAAAACAACAUAAAUUUACG